AUGGUAGGUCGUGCAGGAUUCGAACCUGCGACCAAUUGAUUAAAAGUCAACUGCUCUACCAACUGAGCUAACGACCC
rnacentral:tRNA from 1 species